GGGUUGUGAGGUUAAGCGACUAAGCGUACACGGUGGAUGCCCUGGCAGUCAGAGGCGAUGAAGGACGUGCUAAUCUGCGAAAAGCGCCGGCGAGGUGAUAUGAACCUUUGACCCGGCGAUGUCCGAAUGGGGAAACCCAGUGUGAUUCGUCACACUAUCGUUAACUGAAUACAUAGGUUAACGAGGCGAACCGGGGGAACUGAAACAUCUAAGUACCCCGAGGAAAAGAAAUCAACCGAGAUUCCCCCAGUAGCGGCGAGCGAACGGGGAGCAGCCCGGAGUCUGAAUCGGCUUGUGUGUUAGUGGAACGGUCUGGAAAGUCCGACGGUACAGGGUGAUAGUCCCGUACACGAAAAUGCACAGGUUGUGAACUCGAAGAGUAGGGCGGGACACGUGGUAUCCUGUCUGAAUAUGGGGGGACCAUCCUCCAAGGCUAAAUACUCCUGACUGACCGAUAGUGAACCAGUACCGUGAGGGAAAGGCGAAAAGAACCCCGGCGAGGGGAGUGAAAAAGAACCUGAAACCGUGUACGUACAAGCAGUGGGAGCCUACUUGUUAGGUGACUGCGUACCUUUUGUAUAAUGGGUCAGCGACUUAUAUUCUGUAGCAAGGUUAACCGAAUAGGGGAGCCGAAGGGAAACCGAGUCUUAACUGGGCGUUAAGUUGCAGGGUAUAGACCCGAAACCCGGUGAUCUAGCCAUGGGCAGGUUGAAGGUUGGGUAACACUAACUGGAGGACCGAACCGACUAAUGUUGAAAAAUUAGCGGAUGACCUGUGGCUGGGGGUGAAAGGCCAAUCAAACCGGGAGAUAGCUGGUUCUCCCCGAAAGCUAUUUAGGUAGCGCCUCGUGAAUUCAUCUUCGGGGGUAGAGCACUGUUUCGGCUAGGGGGCCAUCCCGGCUUACCAACCCGAUGCAAACUACGAAUACCGAAGAAUGUUAUCACGGGAGACACACGGCGGGUGCUAACGUCCGUCGUGAAGAGGGAAACAACCCAGACCGCCAGCUAAGGUCCCAAAGUCAUGGUUAAGUGGGAAACGAUGUGGGAAGGCACAGCCAGCCAGGAUGUUGGCUUAGAAGCAGCCAUCAUUUAAAGAAAGCGUAAUAGCUCACUGGUCGAGUCGGCCUGCGCGGAAGAUGUAACGGGGCUAAACCAUGCACCGAAGCUGCGGCAGCGACACUAUGUGUUGUUGGGUAGGGGAGCGUUCUGUAAGCCGUUGAAGGUGGCCUGUGAGGGUUGCUGGAGGUAUCAGAAGUGCGAAUGCUGACAUAAGUAACGAUAAAGCGGGUGAAAAGCCCGCUCGCCGGAAGACCAAGGGUUCCUGUCCAACGUUAAUCGGGGCAGGGUGAGUCGACCCCUAAGGCGAGGCCGAAAGGCGUAGUCGAUGGGAAACAGGUUAAUAUUCCUGUACUUGGUGUUACUGCGAAGGGGGGACGGAGAAGGCUAUGUUAGCCGGGCGACGGUUGUCCCGGUUUAAGCAUGUAGGCGGAGGUUCGGGUAAAUCCGGUACCUUAUUAACGCUGAGGUGUGAUGACGAGGCACUACGGUGCUGAAGUAACAAAUGCCCUGCUUCCAGGAAAAGCCUCUAAGCAUCAGGUAACACGAAAUCGUACCCCAAACCGACACAGGUGGUCAGGUAGAGAAUACCAAGGCGCUUGAGAGAACUCGGGUGAAGGAACUAGGCAAAAUGGUGCCGUAACUUCGGGAGAAGGCACGCUGAUAUGUAGGUGAAGCCCCUGCGGGUGGAGCUGAAAUCAGUCGAAGAUACCAGCUGGCUGCAACUGUUUAUUAAAAACACAGCACUGUGCAAACACGAAAGUGGACGUAUACGGUGUGACGCCUGCCCGGUGCCGGAAGGUUAAUUGAUGGGGUUAGCGGCAACGCGAGCUCUUGAUCGAAGCCCCGGUAAACGGCGGCCGUAACUAUAACGGUCCUAAGGUAGCGAAAUUCCUUGUCGGGUAAGUUCCGACCUGCACGAAUGGCGUAAUGAUGGCCAGGCUGUCUCCACCCGAGACUCAGUGAAAUUGAACUCGCUGUGAAGAUGCAGUGUACCCGCGGCAAGACGGAAAGACCCCGUGAACCUUUACUAUAGCUUGACACUGAACACUGGUCCUUGAUGUGUAGGAUAGGUGGGAGGCUUUGAAGCGUGGACGCCAGUCUGCGUGGAGCCGCCCUGAAAUACCACCCUUUAAUGGCUGGUGUUCUAACGUAGACCCGUAAUCCGGGUUGCGGACAGUGUCUGGUGGGUAGUUUGACUGGGGCGGUCUCCUCCCAAAGAGUAACGGAGGAGCACGAAGGUUAGCUAAUCCUGGUCGGACAUCAGGAGGUUAGUGCAAUGGCAUAAGCUAGCUUGACUGCGAGAGUGACGGCUCGAGCAGGUGCGAAAGCAGGUCAUAGUGAUCCGGUGGUUCUGAAUGGAAGGGCCAUCGCUCAACGGAUAAAAGGUACUCCGGGGAUAACAGGCUGAUACCGCCCAAGAGUUCAUAUCGACGGCGGUGUUUGGCACCUCGAUGUCGGCUCAUCACAUCCUGGGGCUGAAGUAGGUCCCAAGGGUAUGGCUGUUCGCCAUUUAAAGUGGUACGCGAGCUGGGUUUAGAACGUCGUGAGACAGUUCGGUCCCUAUCUGCCGUGGGCGCUGGAGAAUUGAGGGGGGCUGCUCCUAGUACGAGAGGACCGGAGUGGACGCAUCACUGGUGUUCGGGUUGUCAUGCCAAUGGCACUGCCCGGUAGCUAAAUGCGGAAGAGAUAAGUGCUGAAAGCAUCUAAGCACGAAACUUGCCCCGAGAUGAGUUCUCCCUGAGACUUUAAGUCUCCUGAAGGAACGUUGAAGACGACGACGUUGAUAGGUCGGAUGUGUAAGCGCAGCGAUGCGUUGAGCUAACCGAUACUAAUGAACCGUGAGGCUUAACCUUACAACGCCGAAGCUGUU
rnacentral:rRNA from 1 species